AGGUUGGGUACGGAAUUUGCUUUUUUGGCCAUUUUUGCAAAAUUACUUGAAAUCCUUAUCAUAACCCGCUUACAGCCACUGAGUUAGAAGUACUGACAUGAAAAUUAAACAAGUCAAUCAUCUGUGGAACGGGCAGGGCUCGAAAAACUCCAGCCAAUCAUUUGGAUUGCCACCUCGUUGCAUUGGACAGUAAGUACGUCAAUCAAACGGUCGUACUGCACUCCCCCUCCCCCGUGCGACCCCUUCGUGCAGUACUCGUGACCCAGAGCUCGUGACCCAGAGCAAGCUCCUGUUUGUUGUUAUCCUGCGGUAGCUACUGGAACUAGUUAAUCCACAUUUGGACCUAGCAGUAGAAGACAAUUUCCAUGGCAGACAAGACGCCACCAUCCCCACCACCACCACCACCACCACCACCAGCAAAGAGAAGGAAAACUCUUUUUCAGAGAGUAAUUGAUAAUAAAAACGCUGAAAGAGAAAAACUGAAAUCAAGAAUAAUCCUAGGUGCUGCUUUCGAACGUUGGCGGCAACUGAAGGACGAGAAGGGUCUAAAAACCGAUGCUUGUGUGGCGGUUGACAUAGUUUCAAAGUUUAUACCGUUUAUACUCGGUAAUACCGGUGUUGAGACGAGUGUAUUACUCGUUGUGAAAAUUGGCGGAGCCACGUGGUGGCCAGGGGUGGCCGUGGCUACCAUUGGUCAAACUUCGGCCACCCUGCUGGCCACCCCUACGACCGUGCCAAAAAAAAAAAAAAAAGAA